rnacentral:lncRNA from 1 species
AUGUGUCAUUUGGGGCAAGGCCCUGCCUUCGGCUCUAGUCUCAAGGAAGGUGACGGACUUCCCACGCGCAGACAGAAUGGUCUCGUGGAAACGGCACAGGGCACUGCUAUGGCUGAGUCGUCAAUGCCUGGGGACCUUGGACGCGCCCCUCCUGCGCCUACAGCAUGCUGUGUUGCUUACGACUUUGCAGCACUUACCAGGCUCUCCUGUUCAUACCUGUGUGAACGUCAUCAGAGCAGAAACUGCAGAUUGUCAUUCACGGAAUCCCAGCACCUGGCAAAGUCCUCAGGAAAUAUUGGGAGAAUGAAAAUGGAACCUCGUAGAGGAGGUAAGAUAGGAGGAUGCAUAAUCACCAUGAUAAUAGCAAACACUUCUGGCACUCACUCUGUGCCGAUUGUUCUCGAUGCUUGGUGGAUAUUAAGUCACUUCAUUCUUACAACAACCCAAUUUUGCAAGGACUAUCAUCAUCCCCAUUUUACAAAUGAGGACACUCAGGCACAGACAGGGUCAGUAGGCGGCAGACUCUGGAUUGUGACCCAGGCAGCACAAGAUAGACUCAUACCGGAAGGAGGGAAGUGCUGUCGGAGAGAUGCACACAUGUCACAGUCAACCACAGGGACAAGUCACUUUUGAGUGGGCAUCUGGGUUUUGAAGGAUGGGUAGGAGUCCAGGGGGCAGGAUGGUCAGAAAAGGUAUGAAAGCAAUGGUGUGACAGUGGCAAAUUGGUAGAAUGGGCAGGUUCAGAGCACUGUGAGCUGCUGCUGCUUGGGGAAAGGGCCCUGCAGAGGACCAGGGAGAGACAGGGCUUGCCACGAGGUUGGAGGCCAUUGCGUGGGGCCCAGGAUGCCAGGCUAGGAGUUGGGCUUUACACAGAAAGCACUGGAAGGGUUCUUGGGCCAGAGAAAGGCAAGAUGUACUCCAGGCUCUUUGAGGGCUGGGGCCAAGUCUACUGAGAGAGUGCAGCGGUUUGGGAUUUUUGAAUCCAAUGUAUCUGGGUUCAAAUGCCCACCUCACCUCCUGUUAGCCCAAUGACCGGGAUCAAGUUACUUAACGUUCAGUGCUUCAGUUUGCUGCUCUGUAAGUGAGGAGAAAAGAGUCAUGAUAAAAAUUGGGUUGUCGAGAGUCAUGAAGCAAUCAUAAUCCUAAUGUUGUUAGAACCUGAGAGCUCUAGUACGGUCUCGGGCAAACUACUUAACUCCUCUGAGCCUCCGUUUCCUCUUCUGUGAAAUGGGGGAGAAUAAUCGUACCCACAUCAAAGGACUGAGAUGAGCAGGUCAUAAGGCAAAGUGUGUGCAAAGUGUGUGCUUAG